rnacentral:rRNA from 1 species
AUUGAACGCUGGCGGCAGGCCUAACACAUGCAAGUCGAGCGAGCGGCGGACGGGUGAGUAAUGUCUGGGAAACUGCCUGAUGGAGGGGGAUAACUACUGGAAACGGUAGCUAAUACCGCAUACCAUCAACUGUGCCCAGAUGGGAUUAGCUAGUAGGUGGGGUAAUGUCUCGCCUUGCAGACGAUCCCUAGCUGGUCUGAGCGGAUGACCAGCCACACGGGAACUGAGACACGGUCCAGACUCCUACGGGAGGCAGCAGUGGGGAAUAUUGCACAAUGGGCGCAAGCCUGAUGCAGCCAUGCCGCGUGUAUGAAGAAGGCCUUCGGGUUGUAAAGUACUUUCAGCGAGGAGGCGUUACUCGCAGAAGAAGCACCGGCUAACUCCGAGCUAGCAGCCGCGGUAAUUC